CAGUCGCCACGGUAAUACGAAGGGUGCAAGCGUUAAUCGGAAUUACUGGGCGUAAAGCGUGCGUAGGCGGUGAGUUAAGUCUGCUGUGAAAUCCCCGGGCUCAACCUGGGAAUGGCAAUGGAUACUGGCAAGCUAGAGUGUGUCAGAGGAUGGUGGAAUUCCCGGUGUAGCGGUGAAAUGCGUAGAGAUCGGGAGGAACAUCAGUGGCGAAGGCGGCCAUCUGGGACAACACUGACGCUGAGGCACGAAAGCGUGGGGAGCAAACAGGAUUAGAUACCCGCGUAGUCCCUGUCUCUUAUAC
rnacentral:rRNA from 1 species